UUUAGUUCAGUGGCAUUCAGUUCAGCGCAGGUGAUUUUGGAACCAGAAGAUGCUGGUAAAACCAAGAGUAAUGUUGUUCAAGAUAAUGGUUUAGUGAAGAAUAUUUAACCAAGCAGAAAACAGUGCCUUACUUGGUUCAGAAUUAAUGUGAAGACAAAUAUUUUUUUGAUAUUAUUUCAUACACCCUUGUACCAGUGUAUUUGCGGACAAAGGCAGUAAAUAAUUAAACGCCAGUUAACAUAUCGAAUGUCUGCAAUAAGUAUAACAUAUUAUCGUCUGUAAACACUUCAUUUAUUCCAGAUUUAUUUCUAAUAAAUCUCUUGAUUUCUAUUACAGUAGCUAUACAUUUACUUCUCCGUGUCUCUUUGGUUUGAUAAUACCGUUAAAUCAACUACAAAUACACGUAUUUGUAAUGAUGCAAUUGGAGCUAGCAUGUAAAAUAUUUUAUUUUACUGGCCAUUUGCUGAUUAAGGAAUCUCACAAAAAUUAAUGAAACACAAGCUGUACCCUAAAUGAAAUGCUCACCAUAUAAGCAAGGAAUGCAGUAUUCGUAUGUAUAUGUACAGCGCAACAUAAAACAUCCAACUGCUUCUGAGAUAAGUGAAAAAGAUCGCCCUAAAGAAGUUUAAUCUGCAACGUUCUGCCUAAAAUAUCGUAACCUUUAUUCCCGCUUAAACCAACGGCGUCUUUUUUAAAUAUCAUGUAAUGGAAUGGAAAACGUUCGUACUUACUCCUAAAUUGGUAGGUAAUGCGGUACAACUGUGUGUUAAACUGUUAUACAAACAAUGAAACAUCUCUAACUGCAAUCCUUGCAAUACAAAUUGUUUCUGUAGCUUGAAAAUUGAGACGACUCUGUGUUCAUGAAAGGUUGACAGAAACGUUCUGCAUCAUGAAAAGAUAAGAGUACGAUUUUUGGAAGGUGCAAUCUUGGCACAUCUUAGGUUUGUUGCCAUAUAACUUUUAUAAUAUUAUUUAUGCGUAUCCUUAUUAAUUAAUUUUAAAAUAUUAUAACCUUGAAAUUGUCAGCUUCACAGUAUUUUUAAGGACCAAAUAGACAAUAUUUUAACACGUGAUUCUUCAAAAUCUCAUAGUUAGUUACUUUUUGCUUCUUUCUCUAACAUAGGUGUAUGUUUGAGCUGUAGUUAUUCUAUACAUUCAAAGUAAAUUAAAUAAUUGUCCAAUGCUUAACAAGUUCUUCGAUAUGUAUUGAAGAGUUUGUUUUAACUACGCAGUAUAAUUUAUUUUGAUAGUUUUUUAGAGAUGAAGCGGUAUCUGUUCCAAUUGUCAUGUUGGCAAAAACAUGUUUACUACGAUUUAUCUUCGUCGAUUUAUGUUCUACAUCCACCCUGUAGAUCCGAAUUUGUUUGAACUUAUAUUAAUAACAAAUUCGGUUCUAGAGAGGUUUGUGUGGGGCAUUUGUUAACAGCGGUUUAAAAUACACAUCGACGAAUUCAGUGGUAAUGUUAAAAGCACAAAUUCAAUAGUUGGCAGGGAAUCGAAGUUCAACCAGUGAAUUUGGACUGUAUUUCUAAAAAUAAUUUUGAUACGUAAAUCAAUUGAUAUAUUUUCUCCAGCAAAAUAAAAUACAUAGUUUUGUGUCAUUUAUGUAAACAGGUUAAGCAGACACUUACAUUGUUAUACAACUCCCAUGUUUUCAACAAUACCUCCAUGUUUUUGAUAUACAUCUCAAAAAAUUAUUAAAAUAAUCUUUAAGAAUUUUUGAAAUUUCUUAAAAAACAAACACCUUUAAGACGUCUUUUCAGCUUGUUUCCAGCUACCGUUGGAUCACGUACCGCUUGCUUUGGAACGUAUUCCAUGUCUUUGGCAUCGAAUGCGUGUGCAAAUUAGCAUGACUUUACCUUCGAAUUUUCAAUGCUCGACACGAUCCUAGUUAAUUUGGUCUGAUCACAGGGUUAUGCAAAAUAAUAUCGUAGGUAUUUAAUAACUUUAGGAUGCGUGUUACGGAUUUUUAUUAAAGAUAACGUAAAUUUCAUGUGACUUUUGAUUCCAGGAGGCAAACACAGGCCGAAAUUAAAAUAGUACCAUCAUGUUUUUUCAAAAUAAUUGUAGAAUUAUCAUGUUGAAAUAGACUAUUUGACCUCUUUAUUGCAUAUUACUUUGAUAUGUUAAUGUUACAUAUUUCAAUUACGGUGAAAUAUUCUCAAAAACAGAUGUAAAAUAAGAAUGUAAAACCACGUAAAAAAGCUUUCUUAUUUCUGUAGGAAUUUCGUUUAGGUUACGAUUCAGUUUCAAUUAGAAAUCAUUAGAAAAUACGUGAUACUCAAAAAGAAGCAAAAUUAACAUAAUAUUUUCGAUUGACUACAAGUAUUACACUAGACGCAACAGUUGGCUAACGAAAAUAAUGCAAACAAAUCAUGGUAGAGGUAUAUUACGACCGUAAGGAUGGUUCAAAAAUCUUUUAAAUAGCUACAUGAGUCGCCAAAGUAAUGAAAAAUAUAAACUACUGCUGUCUCUGAGAAAAAGGUUAUUAUGCCAUUUUUGGCAAAAUAUAUGUAAAAUUGUUUAAAUCCACGAAAAAAAUAAAUUUUCAAUCGUG